GUCCUUGCCGUAAACGAUGCAUACUAGGUGUAGAGAGGCUCAACCCUUUCUGUACCGGAGCUAACGCAUUAAGUAUGCCGCCUGUGGAGUACGCUCGCAAGGGUGAAACUCAAAAGAAUUGGACGGGGGCCCCGCACAAGCAGUGGAGCAUGUGGUUUAAUUCGAUGCAACGCGAAGAACCUUACCUGGGCUCGAAAUGUAGAGGACGAUGUCAGAGAUGACAUUUCCCGAAAGGGUCUCUAUAUAGGUGCUGCAUGGCUGUCGU
rnacentral:rRNA from 1 species